AUUGGAUUUCAAGGAAUCAAGCAAGUAAAGGUGGUGAGCCCUCUAAUAAGGGUAAAGAUAUCAUACCCGAGGACCAAGAAUAUGAGUACUCCAUACUCCCGUUAUUGCUCAGGGCAGUCUGUAGACCGUUGAUUAUGUUGAGGGUUUACUUUUGGAUUUGCACCCUUAGAAAUCGCAGGUCUAUAGUCUUGUUUAUUUUGUUAUUUUGGGGGCCCACAUGUCAUU
rnacentral:sRNA from 1 species